GACGAACGCUGGCGGCGUGCUUAACACAUGCAAGUCGAACGGAAAGGCCCUGCUUUUGUGGGGUGCUCGAGUGGCGAACGGGUGAGUAACACGUGAGUAACCUGCCCUUGACUUUGGGAUAACUUCAGGAAACUGGGGCUAAUACCGGAUAGGAGCUCCUGCUGCAUGGUGGGGGUUGGAAAGUUUCGGCGGUUGGGGAUGGACUCGCGGCUUAUCAGCUGGUUGGUGGGGUAGUGGCUUACCAAGGCUUUGACGGGUAGCCGGCCUGAGUGGGUGACCGGCCACAUUGGGACUGAGAUACGGCCCAGACUCCUACGGGAGGCAGCAGUGGGGAAUAUUGCACAAUGGGCGGAAGCCUGAUGCAGCAACGCCGCGUGCGGGAUGACGGCCUUCGGGUUGUAAACCGCUUUCGCCUGUGACGAAGCGUGAGUGACGGUAAUGGGUAAAGAAGCACCGGCUAACUACGUG
rnacentral:rRNA from 1 species